AGAAAACGUCGCCGGAUAAUGCGAGGGUGAUUACCAGCAUACUUGAUAUGUGGAAGUCGCACCGGGGGUUUUCUUCUUU
rnacentral:ncRNA from 12 species